AAUUUUAAAUAGAACUAAACCUUGUUAUGUAGAUUAAUUAUAAUAGUAUACAAUAAUAUUUUAACCGAGAGAAUAUUUAUAAAAAUAUAUAACUUUCAUCAUAUUCUAUACUGAAUGCUCUGGUUUUAGUUUUCAAAUAUAGAAACGGAGGUCAUUCUCACGAAGUCUUGUGGUACUCUUCAAUAACUUUUUUUAGACCUUUGGCGAAUUAAAAAGGAUUAAUGCAAGUUAAAACUUUUAAGACUGUAAAUAGUAUUCUAAAAUACUACAAGAAGGCCACUGAUCUUACAUUGAACUUAGUCGCGACAUCAUUUGACCGUUUUUAAAAAAAAAAGUUACCCACCCACCAUUUUAUAAUCUUUGACUUUAAUAAAUUUACCCAUUUAAUUUUACGCCCGAAUUUGCGUGAAACUGAGUUGAAAAUUUCAAAAUGAAUAUUCACGUUUGUGGAAUCUCCUUUUAUACGGAUGAGUUUGUUUUAAGCUUUUUAUAGUUUUAAAUGAAAAAUAAACAAUUUUAAAAUCCUUAAUGUUUAAAUCCAUUGUUUUAACUCUUAAGAAUUCAAUUGGUAACUGUUGAAUUGAAUGGAAAAUUAAAUAAAUAAUGAAUAUAAAUUAGGAAAAAGACAAAAAAUAUAUAAAUUUGUAUUAAUUUUCUUUCCUCAUAGAAAUUGGAGAAUGAUUUUUUUCCUUCGCAAUUUUCUCAUUCAUAAAGAAAUUAGAGGAAUUGAAUAGGACCCAUGAAUCAAUAUUGUGACAAAAACUUCAACAUGAAUGGCAUAAAAUUUUAGAAAUUAAAAUUUCCACAUCAUUUUUUCCUAAAUUUUGGUCACCAAUUGAAGCUAAUAUCUUUUUCGAUUUAUUACAUUCCAUAAGAAAAGUAAAAAAGGUAAAUAAAUAGUUUUAAAAAUAAAAUUGCAUAACACAAUUCAUUUAGAUUUACAUUACUCUAUCAAGUUUAUGCUUAGAAUGUUAAGCAAAAAAAAAAGCUUAACUUAGAAACACUAAUGAUGAAAACUGAAAAAAUGCGAUUUCUUUCUGAUGGAUAUAUCCGUCGAGAAUAUGCAUUCGUAUGGAUUUCCGAUGAAAUGUGUUUGUCGAGAUUAUUUUGUUGGUAAAGAAUUCAUCAAAAAAAUUCAAAAAAUAGCUACAAAUUUUCUGAGAGACUAAUUUUUAAAGGAUUUACAACGAAAAAAAUUAUUAAAAUAAAUUGUUAAAACUUCUCGACGGCUGUGGUACAUAAUAUUUUUAAGAGAAUUUCCAAAAAACUUUCCUAUGGACUUUUCAUUGAAAAUUUGUCAAAAAUUAGUAAUUUUUUAUUUUAAAAUUUUAAUAUAAUAAUCUAAAAUAUUUAAGAAAAUAAUUAAUCAAAAUUCAUAGUUAAAAUUUAAAUACAUACAAGUUUCUAAUAUAAAGACAAGAUUUUCACAGUUUUAAAUAAUAAUGAAAAGAUUUAGAAGUCUUAGCAGAAAUUAUGGUUCAUCUUCUCGACAAGAUUUUUGGUUUUUUGCCAAUUGUGAAAAUAUAGUUGCAAUUUGGUUCUGCACUGAGACACUCAUCUUUGUUCUCACAUGUUCUACAAUCUGGGGAUUAAUAUACGAAACUUGUAUAGACGAGAAAAGUGUGUUUCACAUCUAACCCGAUUAAACGCCAUUUUUUAUUUGGAACCACCUCCUAAAAAUGAUGAUAAAAUUGAAAAUAUGUCAAUGAAAUGUUUAUAAAAUACCUAAAGAACGAGGUUGUUGAUUUGUUGAGCCAAUGUUAUGAAUUCAGUAAUACCAUAUAUAUGUAUUUAUCUGUAAAUAACUUUUUCUAUGGAUCUAUAGUAAGUUUAUCCAUCUACGAAUGAAAAUAAUUAGAAAACAUAUUUUGUACUUUGUUCUGAAUGAAAAGAUGUGAUAUUCAUAGAUGAAAGUAACCUAAUUUUUGAUGGAUUUCUGAAAGAUUUCCGGCGGAUUAUGAAAUUUUUUUAUUUUGUAGAAAAUUUUAUUUUUUCAAACGGAUACAUAGUGGUUGUAGACUCUGUGGAGAAUUCUCAAUGGAUUUUGACUUAUUUGUCUUUUUAUCGGAAACUCAUCGAAAAUUGCAACAACUAGCUAACAGAUGGUAUAAUGUUUUCUUGAGAAUUCAUAUGUAAAUUUUCGAUGGAUUUCUUUUGUCAAAUUUUGGCGAAAAAAAAAUAAACAGGUUUUUAACAAAAGAUAUUUUAUGGGAAUUUUUUGACAAAUUUCCAAAAUUUCUCAAAAUUUUAUUCCAACGUUUCUCGUUGGAAAUUGAGUAUUUUCUUGUAAUGUCUACACUACAAGAGCAUCAUGGGAUAAGACAAAUGAUUUGAAUGAUACUUUUAAAAUUGUGUUAUUAAUGAAGAACAAAGUUUUUCGAAAAAAGAAAAAAAUGAGGAACGGAGCUACAUGCAUGAUAGAGGAGUCAAAUGAUACAUUGGAAAUCAUAGUACAUAUUUACUCCGAAUCGAUAAUCUAAAAGAAAAAUAAUUAGACCCAGUGCAUGCAUUGCUUUGACUGAUCCCCCACUCACUUGCUGACUUGCUCCGAGUCGUUCGAGAAGGUCUUACUUUUAACACACAAGGUAAAUUUACGAGGACAUUUUGUUUAACAGAAUUAAUAUUUUUCUUUUGAUUCCGGAUCGAUAAUCUCAAAGAAAAAAAAU